rnacentral:lncRNA from 1 species
CUAGAACAUCAUGUUGAAGUGAAGUUCAGACCACAUGAAGAAGCCACACAUAGGUGUUCCAUCCAACAGUCAACAUCAGCUGGUGUACAUGUUGUUUCUCCUAGAUCGUGUUUCCUGAGAAGCAAAUUUUGAGAUGGUUUUGAGUGAUGGAUGUCUACUUAAGAGUGCUCCUGGGAAUAACAUCUAUAAAAUCCUGGUGGAGGCAGAGAGGAGAAGACUUUGGACUGUGAGGGAGUUAAUAUACAAGUUUCCACUGAUCCUGUGAGACUGGAAUGGCCCCUCAAAUUUGUCUCAAUUUGAGGCAACUUGGUCAGGCAUUAGUAUCCUACAAUUGAUAGGUUAUUGGGUGCCCAGAGAGAGAGAGAGAGAUCGAAAGUAAGAAUGAGAGUGAGAGUGAACAUGAGAUAACGAGAGAUGUAGAUAUACCUCAGGAUAUAAAAUUUAUUCAUUUUUUGUGUGAAGUGUAAGAUUUGC